AUUGAACGCUGGCGGCAGGCUAACACAUGCAAGUCGAGCGAGCGGCGGACGGGUGAGUAAUGUAUGGGGACUGCCCGAUAGAGGGGGAUAACUACUGGAAACGGUAGCUAAUACCGCAUACUUACGGAUAACCCAUAUGGGAUUAGCUAGUAGGUGAGGUAAUGGCUCACCUAGACGACGAUCCCUAGCUGGUCUGAGAGGAUGAUCAGCAACACGGGGACGUAGACACGGCCCAGCCUCCUACGGAGGCAGCAGUGGGGAAUAUUCGACAAGGGGCGCAAGCCGGAUGUAGCCAUUCGGCGUGUAUGAAGAAGGCCCUAGGGUUGUAAAGUACUUUCAGUCGGGAGGCGUUACCGACAGAAGAAGCACCGGCUAACUCCGUGCCAGCAGCCGCGGUAAUUC
rnacentral:rRNA from 1 species